rnacentral:rRNA from 1 species
UACGGAAGGGGGCUAGCGUUGUUCGGAAUUACUGGGCGUAAAGCGCGCGUAGGCGGACCUGCAAGUCGGGGGUGAAAGCCCGAAGGCUCAACCUCGGAACUGCCUUCGAUACUGCGGGUCUCGAGUCCGGGAGAGGUGAGUGGAAUUCCUAGUGUAGAAGGUGAAAUUCGUAGAUAAUUAGGAAGAACACCAGUGGACGAAAGGCGGC